UACGUAGGGGGCUAGCGUUGUCCGGAAUCAUUGGGCGUAAAGCGCGUGUAGGCGGCCCGGUAAGUCCGCUGUGAAAGUCGGGGGCUCAACCCUCGGAUGCCGGUGGAUACUGUCGGGCUGGAGUACGGAAGAGGCGAGUGGAAUUCCUGGUGUAGCGGUGAAAUGCGCAGAUAUCGGGAAGAAUAUCCGUGGCGAAGGCGGCUCUCUGGUACGGCACUGACGCUGAGACGCGAAAGCGUGGGGAGCAAACAGG
rnacentral:rRNA from 1 species